AUUGAACGCUGGCGGCAUGCCUUACACAUGCAAGUCGAACGGCAGCACGGGUGCUUGCACCUGGUGGCGAGUGGCGAACGGGUGAGUAAUACAUCGGAACGUACCUUAUCGUGGGGGAUAACGCAGCGAAAGCCGUGCUAAUACCGCAUACGCCCUGAGGGGGAAAGCGGGGGAUCGAAAGACCUCGCGCGAUUAGAGCGGCCGAUGCCUGAUUAGCUUGUUGGUGGGGUAAAAGCCCACCAAGGCGACGAUCAGUAGCUGGUCUGAGAGGACGAUCAGCCACACUGGGACUGAGACACGGCCCAGACUCCUACGGGAGGCAGCAGUGGGGAAUUUUGGACAAUGGGGGCAACCCUGAUCCAGCAAUGCCGCGUGAGUGAAGAAGGCCUUCGGGUUGUAAAGCUCUUUUGUCAGGGAAGAAACACCGGCUCUAACACAGUCCGGGGAUGACGGUACCUGAAGAAUAAGCACCGGCUAACUACGUGCCAGCCGCCGCGGUAA
rnacentral:rRNA from 1 species